UACGUAGGUGGCAAGCGUUGUCCGGAAUUAUUGGGCGUAAAGCGCGCGCAGGUGGUUUCUUAAGUCUGAUGUGAAAGCCCACGGCUCAACCGUGGAGGGUCAUUGGAAACUGGGGAACUUGAGUGCAGAAGAGGAAAGUGGAAUUCCACGUGUAGCGGUGAAAUGCGUAGAGAUGUGGAGGAACACCAGUGGCGAAGGCGGUUCUCUGGGACGGUACUGACGCUGAGACGCGAAAGCGUGGGGAGCGAACAGG
rnacentral:rRNA from 1 species